GAUGAACGCUGGCGGCGUGCCUAAUACAUGCAAGUCGAACGAGGUGCUUUUGUAGCACUACGAGAGUAUCCUAGUGGCGAACGGGUGAGUAACGCGUUGGUGACCUACCCCAAAGUGUGGAAUAACAGUCCGAAAGGAUUGCUAAUACCGCAUGUGGUUAUCGGGUUUAGAAACUGAUAACUAAAGGAGCAAUUCGCUUUGGGAGGGACCUGCGUCCCAUCAGCUAGUUGGUGAGGUAAUGGCUCACCAAGGCUACGACGGGUAGGGGACCUGAGAGGGUGACCCCCCACAAUGGAACUGAAACACGGUCCAUACACCUACGGGUGGCAGCAGUAGGGAAUAGUGCACAAUGGGCGAAAGCCUGAUGCAGCAACGCCGCGUGCACGAUGAAGGCCUUCGGGUCGUAAAGUGCUUUUCUGGGAGAGGAGAAAGGACAGUAUCCCAGGAAUAAGUCUCGGCUAACUACGUG
rnacentral:rRNA from 1 species